GGCACAGCCAGGGAGUGCUCAGAAGAGCUCGCUAUCCAUCUCUGAGGCUUUGGUUUCACUUCUGUGCCUUGCAGCUCUGCACAAGCAGCCAGGAUCCAACUCUGUUUGGAGUUACCCAGAUCCAUAACCUCCAUUUUCAUCACUGCUGCUUUCUGCAAUGGAGCAGGGGAGUGAUGUUAAUGCUGCUCACCAUCCUUGAGACAGGUGAUGUGCGUGUCCUAUGGGGAAACUUUGGACAGUGCUCCUGGACCAGGUUGCUUGGACCAGAUCUCUUGUUUUGGGGAACACAGGGUGUUUGUUUUGGCACCACAAAGUGGUGCAGCUUUGCAGGAAGAGGCCAGGAGUUCUUAAGCUGUUAUCACACUAGUGGCAUCUUGAUUUGAACGUGACAAAGAUGCUCCAAACUCUGUAAUACUUUAGCAACGGCCAACAGCUACAGUUUGCUGUUGCUCAAAAAACUUCCUUGUUCAGUAGCAGCAGCAGCGAUGUGCCCAGCGCUGCAGCUGGAGAAAUGGUCUGUGGGGGCUGGUUGCUGCACAGGCACAGAAAAGAAGGCAGACAUUGCUUCUUACACCCUCCAGCAUUACAAGGCUGUAAUUAAAUCCCGUUUUCCAACACUCUGUAUAAGCCUGAGGGGACAAGCUGGCACGUGAAGCCUGCAGGGAGUUGGACUCAGCACGCAGAACAAAAGCGGAGACGCUCCCCCACCAUUUUAUUGUCUGUUUAUUGAAUGUAUCUUCAGCUCUGCUGGGAACUUCCCUGCACAUAGGCUUAAAAUGGAGCCUCUGCUUUUUUUUUUUUGCUUCAUCUCUUCAGGGGCAAAUAUACUGAGCCAUUGAUUAGGUUAUUUUGGGAUUGUGGCACGGCACAAUUGCUUGCUGUUACUCUGGCAGUCAUUUCUCAGAAGCCUGUUAAGCACAUUUUAUAGAGCCCUC